GACGAACGCUGGCGGCGUGCUUAACACAUGCAAGUCGAACGGAAAGGCCCUGCUUUUGUGGGGUGCUCGAGUGGCGAACGGGUGAGUAACACGUGAGUAACCUGCCCUUGACUUUGGGAUAACUUCAGGAAACUGGGGCUAAUACCGGAUAGGAGCUCCUGCUGCAUGGUGGGGGUUGGAAAGUUUCGGCGGUUGGGGAUGGACUCGCGGCUUAUCAGCUUGUUGGUGGGGUAGUGGCUUACCAAGGCUUUGACGGGUAGCCGGCCUGAGAGGGUGACCGGCCACAUUGGGACUGAGAUACGGCCCAGAAUCCUACGGGAGGCAGCAGUGGGGAAUAUUGCACAAUGGGCGGAAGCCUGAUGCAGCAACGCCGCGUGCGGGAUGACGGCCUUCGGGUUGUAAACCGCUUUGGCCUGUGACGAAGCGUGAGUGACGGUAAUGGGUAAAGAAGCACCGGCUAACUACGUG
rnacentral:rRNA from 1 species